rnacentral:rRNA from 1 species
UGGGGAAUAUUGCACAAUGGGGGGAACCCUGAUGCAGCGACGCCGCGUGAAGGAAGAAGUAUUUCGGUAUGUAAACUUCUAUCAGCAGGGAAGAAAAUGACGGUACCUGACUAAGAAGCCCCGGCUAACUACGUGCCAGCAGCCGCGGUAAUACGUAGGGGGCAAGCGUUAUCCGGAUUUACUGGGUGUAAAGGGAGCGUAGGCGGCAGUGCAAGUCAGAAGUGAAAGCCCAAGGCUCAACCAUGGGACUGCUUUUGAAACUGUACAGCUAGAUUGCAGGAGAGGUAAGUGGAAUUCCUAGUG